rnacentral:rRNA from 1 species
CCUACGGGAGGCAGCAGUGAGGAAUCUUGCGCAAUGGGCGAAAGCCUGACGCAGCGACGCCGCGUGAAGGAUGAAGGUCUUCGGAUUGUAAACUUCUGUCGAGUGGGACGAAUGCCAUGAGGGCGAAUAACCCUCGUGGUUGACGGUACCGCUGGAGGAAGCCCCGGCUAACUCCGUGCCAGCAGCCGCGGUAANACGGAGGGGGCCAGCGUUGUUCGGAAUCAUUGGGCGUAAAGGGCGCGUAGGCGGCCGAUCAAGUCGGAGGUGAAAUCCCUCGGCUCAACUGAGGAACUGCCUCCGAUACUGUUCGGCUUGAGUCCUGGAGAGGGUAGUGGAAUUCCGAGUGUAGCGGUGAAAUGCGUAGAUAUCUGGAGGAACACCGGUGGCGAAGGCGGCGUCCUGGACCGGUAUUGACACUGAGGAGCGAAAGCCAGGGGAGCAAACGGGAUUAGAUACCCUUGUANUC